AUUGAACGCUGGCGGCAUGCCUUACACAUGCAAGUCGAACGGUAACGGGCCUUCGGGUGCCGACGAGUGGCGAACGGGUGAGUAAUGUAUCGGAACGUACCUUUCAGUGGGGGAUAACGUAGCGAAAGUUACGCUAAUACCGCAUAUUCUGUGAGCAGGAAAGCAGGGGAUCGCAAGACCUUGCGCUGAUUGAGCGGCCGAUAUCAGAUUAGCUAGUUGGUGAGGUAAAGGCUCACCAAGGCGACGAUCUGUAGCGGGUCUGAGAGGGUGAUCCGCCACACUGGAACUGAGACACGGUCCGGACUCCUACGGGAGGCAGCAGUGGGGAAUUUUGGACAAUGGGGGCAACCCUGAUCCAGCCAUGCCGCGUGAGUGAAGAAGGCCUUCGGGUUGUAAAGCUCUUUCGGCCGGGAAGAAAUCGUAUCAGCUAAUACCUGGUGCGGAUGACGGUACCGGCAUAAGAAGCACCGGCUAACUACGUGCCAGCCGCCGCUGUAACAC
rnacentral:rRNA from 1 species